rnacentral:rRNA from 1 species
CCUACGGGUGGCAGCAGUGGGGAAUAUUGCACAAUGGGGGAAACCCUGAUGCAGCGACGCCGCGUGAGGGAAGAAGGAAUUCGGUAUGUAAAGCUCUAUCAGCAGGGAAGAAAAUGACGGUACCUGAGUAAGAAGCCCCGGCUAACUACGUGACAGCAGCCGCGGUAAUACGUAGGGGGCAAGCGGUAUCCGGAUUUACUGGGUGUAAAGGGAGCGUAGACGGGAGUGCAAGUCUGGAGUGAAAGACGCGGGCUUAACCCCCGGACUGCUGUGGAAACUGUACGGCUGGAGUGCAGGAGAGGUAAGUGGAAUGCGUGGUGUAGCGGUGAAAUGCGUAGAUAUUAGGAGGAACACCAGUGGCGAAGGCGGCUUACUGGACUGUAACUGACGUUGAGGCUCGAAAGCGUGGGGAGCAAACAGGAUUAGAUACCCCUGUAGUC